GUAGUCAUAUGCUUGUCUCAAAGAUUAAGCCAUGCAUGUCUAAGUAUAAGCACUUUAUACUGUGAAACUGCGAAUGGCUCAUUAAAUCAGUUAUCGUUUAUUUGAUAGUACCUUACUACAUGGAUACCUGUGGUAAUUCUAGAGCUAAUACAUGCUGAAAACCUCGACUUCGGAAGGGGUGUAUUUAUUAGAUAAAAAACCAAUGCCCUUCGGGGCUCCUUGGUGAAUCAUAAUAACUUAACGAAUCGCAUGGCCUUGCGCCGGCGAUGGUUCAUUCAAAUUUCUGCCCUAUCAACUUUCGAUGGUAGGAUAGUGGCCUACCAUGGUGGC
rnacentral:rRNA from 1 species